UUCCGGUUGAUCCUGCCGGACCCCACUGCUAUCGAGGUGGGACUAAGCCAUGCUAGUUGAGCGCACAGAACUAUGUCUGUGAGCGGCACACUGCUCAGUAACACGUAGCUAACCUACCCUUAGGACGUGGACAACCCCGAGAAAUUGGGGCUAAUCCACGAUAGAUGUAUUGUCCUGGAAUGGUAUUACGUCCAAAGGUAUCCCAUACAUGUUUGGUAUACGCCUAAGGAUGGGGCUGCGGCCGAUCAGGCUGUUGGUGAGGUAAUGGCUCACCAAACCUUUGACCGGUACGGGCCAUGAGAGUGGUAGCCCGGAGAUGGACACUGAGACAAGGGUCCAGGCCCUACGGGGCGCAGCAGGCGCGAAACCUCCUCAAUGCACUUACGUGCGAAGGGGCUACCUCGAGUGCCACCUGAUGAAGGUGGCUUUUCCUAGGUCUAAAAAGCCUUGGGAAUAAGAGGGGGGCAAGACUGGUGUCAGCCGCCGCGGUAACACCAGCCCCUCGAGUGGUGGGGAUGAUUAUUGGGCCUAAAGCGUCCGUAGCCUGCCGUAUAAGUUUCCCGUUAAAUCCAGCGUCUUAAGCGUUGGACCGCGGGAAAUACUGUACGGCUAGAGAGUGGGAGAGGUCAGCGGUAUUCUGGGGGUAGGGGCGAAAUCCUUUGAUCCCCGGAGGACCACCAGUGGCGAAGGCUGCUGUCUAGAACACGUCUGACGGUCAGGGACGAAAGCUGGGGUAGCGAACCGGAUUAGAUACCCGGGUAGUCCCAGCCGUAAACGAUGCAUGCUAGGUGUUGGGUUGGCCACGAGCCACCCCAGUGCCGCAGGGAAGCCGUUAAGCAUGCCGCCUGGGAAGUACGAUCGCAAGGUUGAAACUUAAAGGAAUUGGCGGGGGAGCACCACCAGGCGUGAAGCCUGCGGUUUAAUUGGAUUCAACGCCGGA
rnacentral:rRNA from 1 species